GUAGGUGGCAAGCGUUGUCCGGAAUUAUUGGGCGUAAAGCGCGCGCAGGCGGUUCUUUAAGUCUGAUGUGAAAGCCCACGGCUCAACCGUGGAGGGUCAUUGGAAACUGGAGAACUUGAGUACAGAAGAGGAAAGCGGAAUUCCACGUGUAGCGGUGAAAUGCGUAGAGAUGUGGAGGAACACCAGUGGCGAAGGCGGCUUUCUGGUCUGUAACUGACGCUGAGGCGCGAAAGCGUGGGGAGCAAACAGGGAUUAGAUACCCUGGUAGUCCACGCCGUAAACGAUGAGUGCUAAGUGUUAGGGGGGUUUUCCCGCCCCCUUAGUGCUGCAGCUAACGCAUUAAGCACUCCGCCUGGGGAGUACGGCCGCAAGGCUG
rnacentral:rRNA from 1 species